CAACAUUGAGUUUGUGUUUGUAGUUGUGUACGUGGGGGAAAAAACAGAACAUUUUGUUCUAAUCUGUUUUCCUAAUAAUGGAAUAUACAAAACUAGGCAUGAGGCAUUCUGGAUUCUUCCAACUUUAUGGAUAAAAAUGGAUCAUUCUGAUUAACAAAGAAACUGUUUAAUGUUUUUUAAAACCUAACUCAUACUAUAUAGUUCUACUCUGCCUCAGUGAAUGCAAAAGCCAUAACUGACUUUUUUUUUCUUUUUUUUUUUUUUUUUUGUCAUCCGCCAUAACUGACUUAUUAAAAUUUU
rnacentral:lncRNA from 1 species